GACCUCAUAGCUCAGUUGGUAGAGCAUUGGACUAAUAUCUCAAAGGUUGCGGGUUCGAUUCCCACCGUGGUCA